rnacentral:rRNA from 1 species
UGACCUCAAAUCAGGUAGGACUACCCGCUGAACUUAAGCAUAUCAAUAAGCGGAGGAAAAGAAACUAACAAGGAUUCCCCUAGUAACUGCGAGUGAAGCGGGAAAAGCUCAAAUUUAAAAUCUGGCGGUCUUUUGGCUGUCCGAGUUGUAAUCUAGAGAAGUGUUAUCCGCGCUGGACCGUGUACAAGUCUCCUGGAAUGGAGCAUCAUAGAGGGUGAGAAUCCCGUCUUUGACAUGGACUGCCAGGGCUUUGUGAUGCGCUCUCAAAGAGUCGAGUUGUUUGGGAAUGCAGCUCAAAAUGGGUGGUAAAUUCCAUCUAAAGCUAAAUAUUGGCGAGAGACCGAUAGCGAACAAGUACCGUGAGGGAAAGAUGAAAAGAACUUUGGAAAGAGAGUUAAACAGUACGUGAAAUUGCUGAAAGGGAAACGCUUGAAGUCAGUCGCGUCAUCCAGGGAUCAACCUUGCUUUUGCUUGGUGCACUUUCUGGUUUGAUGGGUCAGCAUCAAUUUCGACUAUUGGAAAAAGGCUCUAGGGAAUGUGGCAUCUUUGGAUGUGUUAUAGCCCUUGGUCGUAUACAAUGGUUGGGAUUGAGGAACUCAGCACGCCGCAAGGCCGGGUUUUUAACCACGUACGUGCUUAGGAUGC